rnacentral:sRNA from 1 species
UGUAUUGUUUUGUUUUCUAUUAGGGUUUUAGAUUUGGGACUAAGUUAUUCAAUGUCCCAUUAGCAGAAUUGAUUUCUCUUAGUGCUUAAUAGGAUUGAACAAAGUCCCUCAAAUCUUGAUCCAUCUGUCACUUUGUCAGCAGUCUUAAUUGGUUUCUUGCUGAUCAUUAUAUGAUGGGAAAUAACAUAUAAUCUCGAUUUUGAUUAAUUGGUAGAAUUGCUUAA